UCACUUAUAAGAAAUACUGUUUGCUGCUCAUGGAUCUAAUUCUUUGCAGUGAUGAGCUAGAUUUUGGACAUCCACUGCAGCCAGGGGUAAUGCCUUACUCCCACGAAUGAACACUUACGAAGAAACCUGUUGAGAAAACUGGAAGGAAGAACUUCAGGGAUGUAACUACAAAAUAUACAUUUCAGAAAACAAAGGAGAUCUAGGGUCCAGAAAUCAAUGAAUAAAUUGCCAUCAUCCAGUGAAUAAAACAGUCAUCCAGUCAUCUGACAAGGAAGAUUUAUUUAAAUGAACCAGCUCUGAGUCCAGCAGGGCUACUCACAU